CCUACGGGAGGCAGCAGUGAGGAAUAUUGGUCAAUGGGCGCGAGCCUGAACCAGCAAAGUCGCGUGAGGGAAGACGGUCCUAUGGAUUGUAAACCUCUUUUGUCGGGGAGCAAAAGACGCCACGCGUGGCGUUCCGAGAGUACCCGAAGAAAAAGCAUCGGCUAACUCCGUGCCAGCAGCCGCGGUAAUACGGAGGAUGCGAGCGUUAUCCGGAUUUAUUGGGUUUAGAGGGUGCGCAGGCGGAAGAUCAAGUCAGCGGGAAAAUUGAGAGGCUCAACCUCUUCGAGCCGUUGAAACUGGUUUUCUUGAGUGAGCGAGAAGUAUGCGGAAUGCGUGGUGUAGCGGUGAAAUGCAUAGAUAUCACGCAGAACUCCGAUUGCGAAGGCAGCAUACCGGCGCUCAACUGACGCUCAUGCACGAAAGUGUGGGUAUCGAACAGGAUUAGAUACCCGGGUAGUC
rnacentral:rRNA from 1 species